rnacentral:pre_miRNA from 1 species
UGCCUCAGUUUGUGUGCCGCCUCUCCGGUUUCAGUUCUUCGCGUUUCUCUGCACCUGUCGGGACCCGUUUUCAAAGGUAGGCAAUAUAUAUAUAUCAAAACGCUCAGAAUGAGACCUUGAGCGUGGUUCAGAGGUU